GUUUUCCAACCUGAGGAUCCUUCCUGAUCAGAUAGUUCACGGGUCUGAGAAGGGCCGGAGGGGGCGAGACUCCCAGAAAGCAGAGCUUGAAACUGUCCUGUACCUGGACUGCACCCACCUGGGGUGGAGGGGCCACUGCGCUGAGAUCUCUUCAAGGUCUCUGCUCAGCUGUGAACACCAUCAGGCGAGGAUGGGAAAGAGACAGUCGUGCUGACGCAGCUGCUCCUGACGACCCACCAUCACAGGCUGCCAGCCAGCCACGCUCCACGGAGGGUGAGGGCACGCAGCCCCGGCCCGUCCCCACGGCUGUGGUCCUCCCGCACACUCCCUUCUGGCAGUCACGGGGGAAGUGGCUCUGUGUGCUUUCUUCCAGCCCAGGACCCCUCGUCCCACCUCCCCACCGUCCAGCAAUGAAAGAGUGUGCCACUGGCCAGCGGGGCCCGCCCUCUAGCUCCAGCGCUGCCGUGGGGCCUCAGCCAGUCCUAAGACUUCAUAGCAUCACUCUUCUCUGCUCAGUAAACCUGGCGCUUUGGGAAGAUCUCUGAUGGAGCCAGAUGGCUCAUGCUCUGCUUUCCGUGGGGAAAGGACCAAUCCCCUGCUGAACACUAAUCUCCUGAAUUGUCCUCUGAAUAAAAGUGUCUGUGUCAUCUGAGUCGGUGAAUGCUGUGUGCUGUACCCUCCUAUGGGAGCUUCACAUUUUUACAUAGUA
rnacentral:lncRNA from 1 species